rnacentral:rRNA from 1 species
CAGCUAGUUGGUGAGGUAACGGCUCACCAAGGCGACGAUCAGUAGCUGGUCUGAGAGGAUGAUCAGCCUCAUUGGGACUGAGACACGGCCCAAACUCCUACGGGAGGCAGCAGUGGGGAAUAUUGGACAAUGGGCGCAAGCCUGAUCCAGCCAUGCCGCGUGGGUGAUGAAGGCCCUAGGGUUGUAAAGCCCUUUCGGCGGGGAAGAUAAUGACGGUACCCGCAGAAGAAGCCCCGGCUAACUUCGUGCCAGCAGCCGCGGUAAUACGAAGGGGGCUAGCGUUGCUCGGAAUCACUGGGCGUAAAGCGCACGUAGGCGGCUUUUUAAGUCAGGGGUGAAAUCCUGGAGCUCAACUCCAGAACUGCCUUUGAUACUGAGAAGCUUGAGUCCGGGAGAGGUGAGUGGAACUGCGAGUGUAGAGGUGAAAUUCGUAGAUAUUCGCAGGAACACCAGUGGCGAAGGCGGCUCACUGGCCCGGUACUGACGCUGAGGUGCGAAAGCGUGGGGAGCAAACAGGAUUAGAUACCCUGGUAGUCCACGCCGUAAACGAUGGAUGCUAGCCGUUGGCAGGCUUGCCUGUCAGUGGCGCAGCUAACGCAUUAAGCAUCCCGCCUGGGGAGUACGGUCGCAAGAUUAAAACUCAAAGGAAUUGACG